rnacentral:rRNA from 1 species
GGGUCAGUAGGUUGGUCGUGCCACCGGUACGUACUGGUCUCACUGAUUCCUCCUUCCUGAAUAACCGUAAUGCCAUUAAUUUGGGGUUGCGGGGAAACAGGACUGUUACUUUGAAAAAAUUAGAGUGUUUAAAGCAAGCUAACGCUUGAAUACAUUAGCAUGGAAUAAUGAAAUAGGACGAUCGAUCCUAUUUUGUUGGUUUCUAGGAUUGACGUA